GAUGAACGCUGGCGGCGUGCCUAAUACAUGCAAGUCGAGCGAACAGACGAGGAGCUUGCUCCUCUGACGUUAGCGGCGGACGGGUGAGUAACACGUGGAUAACCUACCUAUAAGACUGGGAUAACGUCGGGAAACCGGAGCUAAUACCGGAUAACAUGUUGAACCGCAUGGUUCAACAGUGAAAGACGGUCUUGCUGUCACUUAUAGAUGGAUCCGCGCCGCAUUAGCUAGUUGGUAAGGUAACGGCUUACCAAGGCAACGAUGCGUAGCCGACCUGAGAGGGUGAUCGGCCACACUGGAACUGAGACACGGUCCAGACUCCUACGGGAGGCAGCAGUAGGGAAUCUUCCGCAAUGGGCGAAAUCCUGACGGAGCAACGCCGCGUGAGUGAAGAAGGUCUUCGGAUCGUAAAACUCUGUUAUUAGGGAAGAACAAAUGUGUAAGUAACUAUGCACGUCUUGACGGUACCUAAUCAGAAAGCCACGGCUAACUACGUG
rnacentral:rRNA from 1 species